GCUGCUCCCGCCUCGCGCCCUUCCCUCAGGAGCGGAGCGGCCCUAAUCGCUGCCUGGGGAAAGGGGAGUCCUCGGCAGUUAGCCGCAGGUUGCAUGGGAGAAGAAGUUAAAAGGACGGGGAAACUGCUGACCUGCCUUGCCUGUUACCUGGGGAAGAGAAGCACAACGGGGCCACAACUUAAUAAUACGCAGAAAUACUUACUCUUCUAUGUUCGGAAAACCUGUGAAAUGUCAGUGACUACAAGAAGCAGUCAGCUUAGGGAAAAAAACCCACCCCCACCCCCCCCUUUUCUUCUUUUCUCUUAAUGGCUGCCUAAAUUGCUCUCAGAACCCUCAAGCUGCUGCAAAAUGUGUUUCUCAGACGGCAGUUCAGUGUCAGAUUUCUACAGUGCCCAGACUCUGACUAAUCCCAGACAUGCCAAAAAUUUCAGGAGUAGCUGUGCAAAUGCCCCAUCGCCCCUACCUCACAUCAUCCAAACUCUAUCCACACCACAACCUGUAACUAGGCCAGACAGUUCUGCUUGCAGAAAUGACAGCUUGUUGUUGGUGCCACAAAGCCAUUUUAUUUUCUGUCCACAUCUUCUCCUCCUUUUACCAUACAUGUGGAUACCCACAGAGAUUACAUCAGAACUGCAAAACCCCUUGGCAAUGCGGCAGCAGGUGCAUUCAGCCAGUUGCUGUAAGUUUGGGGAGUAAGGAAAAAAUCAUCUCCUCCAAGAACUCAUUGCAGGUUGAGUUCCAGAUGAGGGUUGGUUUCUCCAUGGAAAACAAAAUUUACACGUUUCACUCUGGUUCCAGGAAUUCCAUCAGUACAUUCUAGUGAGUGAAAAAGUUAAAUAAAAAGCAUAUGACAGAUGCUUUCUUUACUGCUAUGAA